GGAGCAAUCCUGGUGGCGAGUGGCGAACGGGUGAGUAAUAUAUCGGAACGUGCCCAGUCGUGGGGGAUAACGCAGCGAAAGCUGUGCUAAUACCGCAUACGAUCUAUGGAUGAAAGCGGGGGACUCGUAAGGGCCUCGCGCGAUUGGAGCGGCCGAUAUCAGAUUAGCUAGUUGGUGGGGUAAAAGCCCACCAAGGCGACGAUCUGUAGCUGGUCUGAGAGGACGACCAGCCACACUGGAACUGAGACACGGUCCAGACUCCUACGGGAGGCAGCAGUGGGGAAUUUUGGACAAUGGGCGCAAGCCUGAUCCAGCAAUGCCGCGUGCAGGAUGAAGGCCUUCGGGUUGUAAACUGCUUUUGUACGGAACGAAACGGUGAGCUCUAAUAAAGUUUGCUAAUGACGGUACCGUAAGAACAAGCACCGGCUAACUACGUGCCAGCAGCCGCGGUAAUACGUAGGGUGCAAGCGUUAAUCGGAAUUACUGGGCGUAAAGCGUGCGCAGGCGGUGAUGUAAGACAGAUGUGAAAUCCCCGGGCUCAACCUGGGACCUGCAUUUGUGACUGCAUCGCUAGAGUACGGUAGAGGGGGAUGGAAUUCCGCGUGUAGCAGUGAAAUGCGUAGAUAUGCGGAGGA
rnacentral:rRNA from 1 species